CAUAUAAAGGUUAUUAUGGUGUGACGUCAUAUAUCGAAUGACGUAAUUGUUUGGCAUGAAACGUCACACAAAACGCAACCUUGGAAAUUUUCUGGCAGCAAGAGCGUUACCUGUGUUUGUUACUAUACAAUAAGGUACGUGCUUCAAAUGGUUCAACUGUGACUUCGGUAUAAUAAAUCAAUUGUGGCCUUUUAGAAGCAAUAAUAUCCAAAAUUGCCAACCCUAACAAAUUAAUUCACUUCAGGCUGCGCCAUCAGAGGAAGUAAACAUCCCGAGUUUACAAUUUUGGAUAUUCAAUUUUUCUACGGACCAUUAUUGUAUUAAGUUCCAAGGAUAGCCACCAUUCUGAUAUACAUUCCAUAAUAUAAAUUUAUAUUAUUAAUGGCGAUAAAAGUAACUUUAUGAAGACAUACACGUUAAUAGCUUACGAAGACAUUUUCAGCACUUUGUUAUAUUGUUAACGAAUAUUCAUGAAUGCCAGCAUAUAAAUAAUAAAUAAUUUUCAAAGACUAAUAUCAAAAUUUGUUAUUUUCCAGGAAUUAUGUCCGUUAUUUUAUAUUCUUCGGAUCAUCAUGAUUGUUGUCUUCAGUGAAUACAUGAAACCCUUCCAUUGAUACCAGACAACACCAAAAGCAUACUUGUCGAUUUUGUGGCUUCCUUUUAGAUAGAGGCCAUUUAAGUUGCUUUCGUGACAUGCACCAUACCACCAUCCACCCUUAUGAUCUACAACGCAGUUUCCUUUAUUAUCUUUAUCGAACGUCGAAAAUGUGCUUCCAUUUUGGUGCUUCUUCAUAGCAUCACCUACA
rnacentral:lncRNA from 1 species